rnacentral:rRNA from 33 species
ACGCGACCCCAGGUCAAGCGGGGCUACCCGCUGAGUUUAAGCAUAUCAAUA